AAGCGUUAUCCGGAUUUAUUGGGCGUAAAGGGCGUGUAGGCGGGAAUGCAAGUCAGAUGUGAAAACUAUGGGCUCAACCCAUAGCCUGCAUUUGAAACUGUAUUUCUUGAGUGCUGGAGAGGCAAUCGGAAUUCCGUGUGUAGCGGUGAAAUGCGUAGAUAUACGGAGGAACACCACUGGCGAAGGCGGAUUGCUGGACAGUAACUGACGCUGAGGCGCGAAAGCGUGGGGAGCAAACGGGAUUAGAUACCCUGGUAGUCCACGCCGUAAAC
rnacentral:rRNA from 1 species